rnacentral:lncRNA from 1 species
GUACUGGGGGGCUUUGGGGACAAGAAAAAAAAAGAGAUUGGCAACAGAUGUUAGCUUAGGGCCAAUCUUUUACAAAAAAGUUCUCCAGGUGAUUUUUAUUCACACCAAAGUUUAAGAACCACUUUCCUAAAGGAGUGUGGAACUGGGGAGAAAAAUCACACCAUAAAUUUUACCUCUUGCUCAACCUAUGGCACAUUUACCAGAUAGUAUUCAGCCUAGAUUAAACAUCAAGGUAAACUUGAAGGAGAGAGAAGUCACACAUGAGAAGGAGCAAACACCUGUGUGUGUGUGUCGGGCCUGUGAUUUGCUCUGACUAUCAAUGUUUACUGAACGGAGGGGAAGAAGCUCUGGGCUGAACAGGAUUCCAGAAAUGGCUGAGGCCUGGAGCCGGUUGCUUGAGGCCCCAUGGAGAGUGGUUCCCUGAGCAGACAUUCAAAAGCACUCCAUCUGCAUCGUGCGAGCCCCCACAUUCAACUAGGAUGGAAUAUCGCAGUGUUGGCUUCCUGAGUGGCCGCUGAGCUGAGGGCCUGCAUGACAAACCCUGGAGACACAGGAUACUUGAUGUAACUCUGAGCAAGUAUAUCAGCAGCAAUCACUUUCCAGGAGUAACGAAAGCUGCCAUCUGAUGGUUACGCGCUGGGCCUCAAGCUAAGCUCUUUAUGUUCCCCACGUUGAAUCCUCACAGCGACUCUCUGAGAUGGGAUUAUACACAUCUUAGAAAUGAGGAAACUGUUUCACAGGGAAUAGCUCAGUCAUUGCCCCAGGUCACACAGCCAGGUGGUGGAGCACCUAGGAUUUGAACCCAAGAAUUCUGCCUUCCAAGUUCAUCGUAUCGUCUUUCCCUAUACUGUGAGGCAGCCUGAGUUUAGCUCCAAAACCAAAGCUUAUUACAACGAUGGAAAAGUGCUAGAGGGGUGGAGUAGACAAUGCAAUUUCCCCAUAGAAGUCAUGGAAUUUCUCUAACUACUUGGACGCCCUACAAGUGAGAUUGCAUAGUUCUGAAAGGAGGGGUCCCCUACUCUGCAGCCCUUGUCCACUGACGCGUCCUGUUAAUUAGAAGCCACACACAUGCCCGCGCGCGCGCACACAGCACCUAGCAUCUGAAACAGACUCAUGAAACACCAGCAGGUGGCUGACAGGAAGCCUAGGGUUUCAAAGGACAACACUCAGGUAGAUCGCAGUCAGCAGGGGAUGGCAGCCGGGAGGGCAAGGCUCCUCAAACCACAGAAGUUCCACAGCGCUGCUCACGCGUGUGGUCGGAGCCCUCUGCAAACACUGCACCUCAGCUACAGCAUCCCACCGCUGGAUGGAAGUCCUUCCCUUGUUUCGGUCGAGUUUGCCCUUCUGGUGCAGGCACCCCGUCUCCCGGCCUGAGAAUAAUGAAUUAGGCUGUGUGUGGUGUACCGGGAAGGGCAGUAAUUUUCCUGAGCAACAAGAACUGACGUUUUCCCAUGGCUAAUCAGAAAGGAACUAAGCACUAUAAUGUUAGUAAAUCCCUUCAGCUCCUGGGAUAAGAGC